CGCUGUGUGGUGGUGUGUUUUCUGUUCAGUGUUAUACUUCAUGCACUUGAAGGAGGAGCAGAUAGCUGAAAAGAAAGUGUUCGUUCAAGAAGCAGGAAAUGCCGGGAACAGAACGGGAGGAGAGCGAAACAUGAAGAAGGAUGGAAGAGGUGUGCCCAUUCUCUUUCCCUGUGACAGCUCAUCAAGGCGCCAUCCUCCGCAACCCAAAGUUGGAUACACGAUCAAGAAAACUGACAAAAAAAUCUAUUUGUGUUUUUAGCCAGCUGUAAUUGCCUCAUUAUAGAAAAUGUUGUAUGAGAUGUCAUGGCUUUCCAACUUCUCACUAGAGUAUAAAAGUGAAAUUUAGCAAGUAAUACAUGAAGACGACAUUAUGACAAAUUCAUAUUAAUGACUAUAAACUUUACAACAGUACUGUAAAGGACUUUGCCUUAUGCUGUUCGAACUCACACAGCCUUCAAAUAUUGCACAUAUAUUCCACAAUAUGAAGUUAUUGCAAAAAAUUCAUAAAUUUACAUGUGACAGCAAGCCAAGUAUAUGAAAGAUCAAUGUAGACAACAUGGUGUCACCCACUGGUUCAUGGACUCGUUUUAGCGUUUUAGCCAUCAGCAUGUUCAUUUUUUUCUGUCAAAAGUUACCCUAUUUGAAUUGCAAAGUAGAAUCCAUGGGCUGCAU